rnacentral:rRNA from 1 species
UGGGGAAUAUUGGACAAUGGGCGCAAGCCUGAUCCAGCAAUGCCGCGUGGAUGAAGAAGGUCUUCGGAUUGUAAAGUCCUUUCGACGGGGACGAUGAUGACGGUACCCGUAGAAGAAGCCCCGGCUAACUUCGUGCCAGCAGCCGCGGUAAUACGAAGGGGGCUAGCGUUACUCGGAAUUACUGGGCGUAAAGGGCGCGUAGGCGGCGCGAUAAGUCAGGCGUGAAAUUCCCGGGCUCAACCUGGGGACUGCGCUUGAGACUGUUGUGCUAGAGGAUGGAAGAGGGUCGUGGAAUUCCCAGUGUAGAGGUGAAAUUCGUAGAUAUUGGGAAGAACACCGGUGGCGAAGGCGGCGACCUGGUCCAUUACUGACGCUGAGGCGCGACAGCGUGGGGAGCAAACA